UACGUAGGGGGCAAGCGUUGUCCGGAUUUAUUGGGCGUAAAGAGCGUGUAGGCGGCCAGACAGGUCAGCUGUGAAAACUCGAGGCUCAACCUCGAGACGUCGGUUGAAACCGUCUGGCUAGAGUCCGGAAGAGGAGAGUGGAAUUCCCGGUGUAGCGGUGAAAUGCGCAGAUAUCGGGAAGAACACCGGUGGCGAAGGCGGCAUCCUGGACCGACACUGACGCUGAUGAGCGAAAGCCAGGGGAGCAAACGGG
rnacentral:rRNA from 1 species